CAAUAGCGUAUAUUUAAGUUGUUGCAGUUAAAAAGCUCGUAGUUGGAUUUCGGAUGGGAUUUGCCGGUCCGUCGUUACGAUGUGCACUGGCCAGUCCUAUCUUGUUGUCGGGGACUAGCUCCUUGGAUUCACUUCCUGGGACUAGGAGCUGACGCGGUUACUUUGAGUAAAUUAGAGUGUUCAAAGCAAGCCUACGCUCUGAAUACAUUAGCAUGGAAUAACACGAUAGGACUCUGGCUUAUCUUGUUGGUCUGUGAGACCAGAGUAAUGAUUAAGAGGGACAGUCGGGGACAUUCGUAUUUCAUUGUCAGAGGUGAAAUUCUUGGAUUUAUGAAAGACGAACUUCUGCGAAAGCAUUUGUCAAGGAUGUUUUCAUUAA
rnacentral:rRNA from 1 species